rnacentral:lncRNA from 1 species
CGACAGCCAGCCUGGUGGCUCUGGUCCUGCUCUACACAUCAUGUCUUUCCUUACAGAGCCCCACAGGCAGCCCCGUGCAGGCCCUGCCAGUGAGUCCAGGGUUUUAUUUCAAGCCGUCCUUCCCCGUCAAGCUCAUCGCCUGCGUUUGGCCACACACUCGCAGCUCUCCGAGCACAGCUGGUUUUUUCCUCUUUGUUUACUCUUUCAACAAAAGCUGGAUUCUAGACCAAGCUGUUAAGUCCUGGAGAUGCAGAAAGGAACAAGACAAACACAGGCUCAGCCCUCCAAAGCUUUCAGAAACAAGACCGACCACAAAGUGACUGAGCCAGUUAACCCAGGCAAGAGACUGGGAAGAGAGCACAGCUCCUCUGCCCACCAUCAGCGCUGCAUGUCCAGAGCCCGGGUCAAGGCCAGGUGCAGGGGACGCACUCAGGAAAUGCGUGAUCAAAGCAAACAGCCAUUUUGGAGAAGUCAGAGGAACUUAUUCUAGAUGGGUCAAGAAAGUCCAUCCAGCGUCAUUGCAGAGCCUCCGCAUCAAGACAAUGAACUUUAGUCCUCAAAGAGGCAUAUUGCAUCUGUCAGGAUACACUUGGUUAUGAGGAAACUGAGGCACAGAAGCAUGAAGUGACUUUCCCAAGGUCACGCACAUGGAAAGUGGUGAGGUCAGCAAUCCACUCACCGUGAGGAGAAAGCCGUGAGGAGAAAGAGAGAGCCAGGCCAAGACCUGGCAGAGAGCAUUACCAGGCAGGGGGAACUGACUAUGCAAAGGCCCUGAGCGGCACAUAUAAGCAUGCACAAGGGUCUGGACACCAGGAAGUGCCCAAGACACUCACGGCAAUGAGAGAAGUUGGCAGGCCCCCCAUCAGUCAUUCAUUCAUGCACGAGCGUUGGCGAAGCUCCUAGCAGGUGUCUGUCCCUGGGAAUGUGAAGCCAGUCUCUCUUCUCAGGAAGCUGACAGCCCACUGGGGAGACAGAACCUCAGUCCUUCACCAGGUCUGAAUUUUACAGCUGCCUUUUGGAACAAAUUCUGAGAACUGUGUUGCUUCUCUUCUCUUCUUAGUAUAUGACUUCAGAAAGGACACAAGAGUUUACCACCAUGACCUUUUCUGCUGCCUGACAAAGCCCGUUGAGCAGUGAGUCUGUGCUCAUGAUGCUAAUCCUGGAGGCCACGACCUCUGUAACAUUUCUCAGCAAUUCCAUUUUCUGCCUCGACCCAGGGUCAGAGACACUGGUCAAUAAGCAAGCCUGGUGUCCA